rnacentral:ncRNA from 2 species
GACUUACAGGUCGAGCUGGGACGAAAGUCGGGCUUAGUGAUCCGGCGGUUGCGAGUGGAAGCGCCGUCGCUCAACGGAUAAAAGCUACCCCGGGGAUAACAGGCUUAUCUCCCCCAAGAGUUCACAUCGACGGGGAGGUUUGGCACCUCGAUGUCGGCUCAUCGCAUCCUGGGGCUGGAGCAGGUCCCAAGGGUUGGGCUGUUCGCCCAUUAAAGCGGUACGUGAGC